UUCACCUUCACUUUCAACUUUAGCCCUCCAUCCCUCAUCCCGUCAUCUUCUUCUCCUACAAAACCAACCACCGCUUUCUCUCUCUAUCUGUUUUAUCACAACAAGCUCAACACAAUCUUUUUAUUUCUUCCGACCUUUCAUUCAUACGCACUUACAUAUAUACGUUUCACAUAUUUGUUUUGUUUGGUAACUGCAAGCAAAUUCUAUUCAGGUUCAAAUCGAAAUGGAAGAAGGUAAAACUAAAAUGGAAGAAGGAAACGAAAAUAGAAAAGCGACAGCGUAUGAAGAAGCAUUGGAUGCUUUAUCUUCUCUCAUCACAAAACGCAAUCGUAUUGAACCAGGCGACAGAUCUUAUUCGCUUGAUCUCAUUCGCGAGUAUGUCAAGAUGUUGGACUUAGAGGAAGCAAUUUCAAAAAUGAGUGUUAUUCAUGUUGCUGGCACUAAAGG